rnacentral:rRNA from 1 species
AGACCCGAAACCCGGUGAUCUAGCCAUGGGCAGGUUGAAGGUUGGGUAACACUAACUGGAGGACCGAACCGACUAAUGUUGAAAAAUUAGCGGAUGACCUGUGGCUGGGGGUGAAAGGCCAAUCAAACCGGGAGAUAGCUGGUUCUCCCCGAAAGCUAUUUAGGUAGCGCCUCGUGAAUUCAUCUCCGGGGGUAGAGCACUGUUUCGGCUAGGGGGCCAUCCCGGCUUACCAACCCGAUGCAAACUGCGAAUACCGGAGAAUGUUAUCACGGGAGACACACGGCGGGUGCUAACGUCCGUCGUGAAGAGGGAAACAACCCAGACCGCCAGCUAAGGUCCCAAAGUCAUGGUUAAGUGGGAAACGAUGUGGGAAGGCCCAGACAGCCAGGAUGUUGGCUUAGAAGCAGCCAUCAUUUAAAGAAAGCGUAAUAGCUCACUGGUCGAGUCGGCCUGCGCGGAAGAUGUAACGGGGCUAAACCAUGCACCGAAGCUGCGGCAGCGACGCUUAUGCGUUGUUGGGUAGGGGAGCGUUCUGUAAGCCUGUGAAGGUGGCCUGUGAGGGUUGCUGGAGGUAUCAGAAGUGCGAAUGCUGACAUAAGUAACGAUAAAGCGGGUGAAAAGCCCGCUCGCCGGAAGACCAAGGGUUCCUGUCCAACGUUAAUCGGGGCAGGGUGAGUCGACCCCUAAGGCGAGGCCGAAAGGCGUAGUCGAUGGGAAACGGGUUAAUAUUCCCGUACUUGGUGUUACUGCGAAGGGGGGACGGAGAAGGCUAUGUUGGCCGGGCGACGGUUGUCCCGGUUUAAGCGUGUAGGUGUGUGUUCCAGGUAAAUCCGGUUCACUUUAACACUGAGGCGUGAUGACGAGGCACUACGGUGCUGAAGUAACAAAUGCCCUGCUUCCAGGAAAAGCCUCUAAGCAUCAGGUAACAUCAAAUCGUACCCCAAACCGACACAGGUGGUCAGGUAGAGAAUACCAAGGCGCUUGAGAGAACUCGGGUGAAGGAACUAGGCAAAAUGGUGCCGUAACUUCGGGAGAAGGCACGCUGACACGUAGGUGAAGUGAUUUACUCAUGGAGCUGAAGUCAGUCGAAGAUACCAGCUGGCUGCAACUGUUUAUUAAAAACACAGCACUGUGCAAACACGAAAGUGGACGUAUACGGUGUGACGCCUGCCCGGUGCCGGAAGGUUAAUUGAUGGGGUCAGCGCAAGCGAAGCUCCUGAUCGAAGCCCCGGUAAACGGCGGCCGUAACUAUAACGGUCCUAAGGUAGCGAAAUUCCUUGUCGGGUAAGUUCCGACCUGCACGAAUGGCGUAAUGAUGGCCAGGCUGUCUCCACCCGAGACUCAGUGAAAUUGAACUCGCUGUGAAGAUGCAGUGUACCCGCGGCAAGACGGAAAGACCCCGUGAACCUUUACUAUAGCUUGACACUGAACAUUGAGCCUUGAUGUGUAGGAUAGGUGGGAGGCUUUGAAGUGUGGACGCCAGUCUGCAUGGAGCCGACCUUGAAAUACCACCCUUUAAUGUUUGAUGUUCUAACGUGGACCCGUUA